GGAAGUAAAAUAACAGGGUUUCCGUAGGUGAACCUGCGGAAGGAUCAUUACUGAGUGAGGGCCCCUCGGGGUCCAACCUCCCACCCGUGUUUAACGAACCUUGUUGCUUCGGCGGGUCCGCCUCACGGCCGCCGGGGGGCAUCUGCCCCCGGGCCCGCGCCCGCCGAAGCCACCUGUGAACGCUGUCUGAAGUAUGCAGUCUGAGACAAUUAUUAAAUUAAUUAAAACUUUCAACAACGGAUCUCUUGGUUCCG
rnacentral:misc_RNA from 1 species